ACUUGCAUUUAUACUAAGGAAUCCCCCUGAAAUUAAGCAGGUUUAGGCCUGGCCAGUACUUGGAUGGGAGACUAACUAGCAAAGCUGGGUUGCUGCUGGAA
rnacentral:rRNA from 1 species